rnacentral:rRNA from 1 species
GAGUUUGAUCAUGGCUCAGAUUGAACGCUGGCGGUAUGCUUAACACAUGCGAGUCGAACGGUAGCAGGCCUUCGGGCGCUGACGAGUGGCGGACGGGUGAGUAACGCGUAGGAAUCUGCCUCAUAGUGGGGGACAACGUGGGGAAACUCACGCUAAUACCGCAUACGCCCUACGGGGGAAAGCGGGGGACCUUCGGGCCUCGCGCUAUGAGAUGAGCCUGCGUUAAAUUAGCUAGUUGGUAGGGUAAAGGCCUACCAAGGCGACGAUCUAUAGCUGGUCUGAGAGGACGAUCAGCCACACUGGGACUGAGACACGGCCCAGACUCCUACGGGAGGCAGCAGUGGGGAAUAUUGGACAAUGGGCGCAAGCCUGAUCCAGCAAUACCGCGUGUGUGAAGAAGGCCCUAGGGUUGUAAAGCACUUUCAAUGGGGAGGAAAACAGUCAGAUUAAUACCCUGGCUCUUGACAUUACCUUUAGAAGAAGCACCGGCUAACUCCGUGCCAGCAGCCGCGGUAAUACGGAGGGUGCGAGCGUUAAUCGGAAUUACUGGGCGUAAAGCGUGCGUAGGCGGUUCGUUAAGUCAGAGGUGAAAGCCCCGGGCUUAACCUGGGAACUGCAUUUGAAACUGGCGAACUAGAGUUUAAUAGAGGGGAGUGGAAUUUCAGGUGUAGCGGUGAAAUGC